rnacentral:rRNA from 1 species
GACGAACGCUGGCGGCGUGCCUAAUACAUGCAAGUCGAGCGCGGGAAGCAAGCUGAUCCUCUUCGGAGGUGACGCUUGUGGAACGAGCGGCGGACGGGUGAGUAACACGUGGGCAACCUGCCUGUAAGACUGGGAUAACCCCGGGAAACCGGGGCUAAUACCGGAUAAUACUUUUCAUCACCUGAUGGAAAGUUGAAAGGUGGCUUCUUGCUACCACUUACAGAUGGGCCCGCGGCGCAUUAGCUAGUUGGUGAGGUAACGGCUCACCAAGGCAACGAUGCGUAGCCGACCUGAGAGGGUGAUCGGCCACACUGGGACUGAGACACGGCCCAGACUCCUACGGGAGGCAGCAGUAGGGAAUCUUCCGCAAUGGACGAAAGUCUGACGGAGCAACGCCGCGUGAGUGAUGAAGGUUUUCGGAUCGUAAAGCUCUGUUGUUAGGGAAGAACAAGUGCCGUUCGAAUAGGGCGGCACCUUGACGGUACCUAACCAGAAAGCCCCGGCUAACUACGUGCCAGCAGCCGCGGUAAUACGUAGGGGGCAAGCGUUGUCCGGAAUUAUUGGGCGUAAAGCGCGCGCAGGCGGUCCUUUAAGUCUGAUGUGAAAGCCCACGGCUUAACCGUGGAGGGUCAUUGGAAACUGGAGGACUUGAGUACAGAAGAGGAGAGUGGAAUUCCACGUGUAGCGGUGAAAUGCGUAAAGAUGUGGAGGAACACCAGUGGCGAAGGCGACUCUCUGGUCUGUAACUGACGCUGAGGCGCGAAAGCGUGGGGAGCGAACAGGAUUAGAUACCCUGGUAGUCCACGCCGUAAACGAUGAGUGCUAGGUGUUAGGGGGUUUCCGCCCCUUAGUGCUGAAGUUAACGCAUUAAGCACUCCGCCUGGGGAGUACGGCCGCAAGGCUGAAACUCAAAAGAAUUGACGG